GUGCGAAAGGAGGGAACGUGUGGGUCUGCCAGGGUCCUGCAGGGGGGAUGAGACCCUCGCUCCGCUCCGGCGAUCCCUUCGCUCUCCACCCUCGGCCAGCCCCUCCUGUCCUCCAUCAGGCCUCGCUGAGGAUACCUCCUGGGUUCCAAAGCGCGAGUUGAACCUGAGCUUGACAUUCAUUCCGUCUCGUACAAAAGCCAUGCCUGCGGGGAGAGGGAGAAAAUUUCCUACAGGAGCCUCAAGACUGCGUUUCAGGAAGCCCUAGGACCCACUGAUCCUGCAGCUGCGCCUCUCACUCGCCUCAGUCACACCAUCUAUGGCAUUAUUGUUGUGGCAGCCCAAACUGAUCCAGACAUCCUCCAAAUUCAUUCUUCACACAUGGGUUCUUUUUCCUCUGUCAAUGGAAGUUACCAGCAGGCUUUGGAGGAUAAGAGUGCUAUGUCAGGGGAUAAACUCAAGGAAGAAAUGGACAUAGCUGUUGAGAAGAGAUGGGGAUUUUCUCAUAAGCCAUGCUACUUUUUUGAC
rnacentral:lncRNA from 10 species